rnacentral:rRNA from 1 species
UACGUAGGAGGCAAGCGUUGUCCGGAGUUACUGGGCGUAAAGCGCACGCAGGCGGUCGCAUCAGUCUGGGGUGACAGUUCCCGGCCUAACCGGGAAAGUGCUCUGGAAACUGUGCGACUUGAGGGCUUCAGAGGGAUGUGGAAUUCCAGGUGGAGUGGUGAAAUGCGUAGAGAUCCGGAGGAACACCAAAGGCGAAGGCAGUGUCCUGGGGAGUACCUGACGCUGAGGUGCGAAAGCCAGGGGAGCGGACGGG